AGUGAACGCUGGCGGUAGGCCUAACACAUGCAAGUCGAACGGCAGCACAGUAAGAGCUUGCUCUUACGGGUGGCGAGUGGCGGACGGGUGAGGAAUACAUCGGAAUCUACUUUUUCGUGGGGGAUAACGUAGGGAAACUUACGCUAAUACCGCAUACGACCUACGGGUGAAAGCAGGGGAUCUUCGGACCUUGCGCGAUUGAAUGAGCCGAUGUCGGAUUAGCUAGUUGGCGGGGUAAAGGCCCACCAAGGCGACGAUCCGUAGCUGGUCUGAGAGGAUGACCAGCCACACUGAAACUGAGACACGGUCCAGACUCCUACGGGAGGCAGCAGUGGGGAAUAUUGGACAAUGGGCGCAAGCCUGAUCCAGCCAUACCGCGUGGGUGAAGAAGGCCUUCGGGUUGUAAAGCCCUUUUGUUGGGAAAGAAAAGCAGCAGGUUAAUACCCCGCUGUUCUGACGGUACCCAAAGAAUAAGCACCGGCUAACUUCGUG
rnacentral:rRNA from 1 species